UAAGGUUGCCACAGAUUCGCUAAUCUGAUAUCAACAUCCAGCCCCUGUGCUUGCCAUCCUCACUGUGUGCUUAGUCAUGUCCCCUACGGCCGCCCGCUGUCCUGCAGAUGACUAUCUGGCUGUCUUUUAUUCAUUGUGGCUGCUCCAUCUCUUGGGUUCUAAAGAACAUGCCAGGAAAUGACCCAGCUGCCCCAAGAAGUGGGCAGGCAGGACCCCGGGACAUCACCAGGACACACUGCUCUGGGUACUGGAGACACAAAACGGUCUGGGUGUUCAUACGGAGGUCCCAGAAGCCUACGAAUGAAGACGGGUUUGUCCGCUCCAAGGUUGUAACUUUUCCUAGCUCGUAGCAAAGCACCUGUGCGACUGUUUCACUUUUCACGUUUGUUCACUAAGAGGACCAAACAAACACCGGAUGUUUCACUGUGUCCUCUUUGGAUAUUUCUAUGAUGUCCUGUGGAGAAUGUGGAAUCCCAUAACUUUAACUUCGGAAAUCCUUUGUGGACCUUACAAGGAGCAAGCUGAAAAUCUCUCUCGCCCCCACCCACAAAAUUCAGGGUGCUUAGUAAACAUUUUACCCUCAUAAAAUUUUGCAUAACCACUGCUCUAACAAAUGCAAUAAACUCUGUCAUAGCUGAUAGAAGCCAAGCCAUAUUUUUUUUCAGAGAGUCAUAUAGUCAUUUAAUAACAGCAGAAUGUGUAAAUGGUGAACGCCAUAGAGCUGAAGGUAUCAUUUAAGAUUUCACUGAGCUAUUUUAUGUGGUAUGACAGCUACAAUAUGGAUGGUUCCUUUUAAGUAUAUUUGAAUCAGCAAAAAGCUUUAAUUAUUUGACAAAAUGAUAUCAUAAAGUAUAUAUAGAAGCACAUCAAUAGAAAAUCAUAUAUAUGUAUAUAUAUAUGUAUAUAUAUACAUGAAUAUAUAUUUCAUUAAAAAGUAUAAUUUGGAACCUAACAUGCCCUGAGCCUCUCUAGAAGGAAUCACUCCAUGUAUGCACUCUGAAAUAAUAGAAAAUAAGAAAUUAAAAAUCACUCCAUGAGUAGACUGAGAGUUACUGAGUUUUCAUCCUAUUACAAUAAAAUGCCAACUUUAGAAAACAGAA